GUUUGAUCCUGGCUCAGAUCGAACGCUGGCGGCGUGGCUAAAGCAUGCAAGUCGCACGCGAACACCAAAGCAAGCUUGCUUGUCUAGGUAAGUAGAGUGGCGAAAGGGUGAGGAAUGCAUGGGCAACGUACCUUGAGCUUGUGGACAGCUGCGGGGAACUGCAGGUAAUACUCGAUUACACCAUAGUGUCAUAAGGCACAGUGGUCAAAGGUGGGGCUCCCUUCGGGGACCUACCGGCUCUUGAGCGGCCCAUGUCCUAUCAGCUUGUUGGUGAGGUAACGGCUCACCAAGGCUUUGACGGGUACCGGGACUGAGAGGUUGAUCCGGCACAUAGGGACUGAGACACUGCCCAGACUCCUACGGGAGGCUGCAGCAACGAAUAUUGCACAAUGAGCGAAAGCUUGAUGCAGCGACGCCGCGUGUGGGAAUAAGCCCUUCGGGGUGUAAACCACUGUCAGGGACUACCAAGCAAUGGGAGCUAAUACCUUCCGGCGUUGAGGAAUCCCAAAGGAAGCCACGGCUAACUUCGUGCCGGCAGCCGCGGUAAGACGAAGGUGGCAAGCGUUGUUCGGAAUUAUUGGGCUUAAAGAGCAUGUAGGCGGCCCGACAAGCGUGGUGUGAAAUCCCUCGGCUCAACCGAGGAACUGCACCGCGAACUGUCAGGCUUGAGGCAAGUAGGGGCGUGUGGAACUCUUGGUGGAGCGGUGGAAUGCGUAGAUAUCAAGAGGAACGCCGGUGGCGAAGGCGACACGCUGGGCUUGUCCUGACGCUGAGAUGCGAAAGCCAGGGUAGCGAACGGGAUUAGAUACCCCGGUGGUCCUGGCCCUAAACGAUGUCCACUAGGUCGGUGGCUCUCUGACGGGUUACCGGCCGGAGCAAAAGUAUUAAGUGGACCGCCUGGGGAGUACGGUCGCAAGGCUAAAACUCAAAGGAAUUGACGGGGGCUCACACAAGCGGUGGAGCAUGUUGCUUAAUUCGAUUCAACGCGAAGAACCUUAUCCUGGGCUUGACAUACACGGAUGCCUACUGGGAAACCAGGUCGGUUGCCUUUCGGGGUGAAACGUGAACAGGUGCUGCAUGGCUGUCGUCAGCUCGUGUCGUGAGAUGUUGGGUUAAGUCCCGUAACGAGCGAAACCCUUGUCGUUAGUUGCCAGCGGGUCAUGCCGGGGACUCUAGCGAGACUGCCGGUGUUAAACCGGAGGAAGGUGGGGAUGACGUCAAGUCCUCAUGGCCUUUAUGCCCAGGGCCGCAAACGUGCUACAAUGACCGGUACAAACCGAAGCGAGACCGCGAGGUGGAGCAAAUCGGAAAAAGCCGGCCCCAGUUCGGAUUGUAGUCUGAAACUCGACUACAUGAAGUUGGAAUCGCUAGUAAUCGUAGAUCAGCUAUGCUACGGUGAAUGUGUUCCUGAGCCUUGUACACACCGCCCGUCAAGUCAUGGAAGCUGGUAGCACCCGAAGUCGCCACAAUUCAGUGGUGCCGAAGGUGAGAUUGGUGACUGGGACUAAGUCGGAACAAGGUA
rnacentral:rRNA from 1 species